UUCUCCUGGAAAACGGGUGGUAAUGCCGGAUGCUCCAGUUGACCGCAUGGUCCUCUGGGAAAGCUUUUGCGGUAUGGGAUGGGGUCGCGUCCUAUCAGCUUGAUGGCGGGGUAACGGCCCACCAUGGCUUCGACGGGUAGCCGGCCUGAGAGGGCGACCGGCCACAUUGGGACUGAGAUACGGCCCAGACUCCUACGGGAGGCAGCAGUGGGGAAUAUUGCACAAUGGGCGCAAGCCUGAUGCAGCGACGCCGCGUGCGGGAUGACGGCCUUCGGGUUGUAAACCGCUUUUGACUGGGAGCAAGCCCUUCGGGGUGAGUGUACCUUUCGAAUAAGCACCGGCUAACUACGUGCCAGCAGCCGCGGUAAUACGUAGGGUGCAAGCGUUAUCCGGAAUUAUUGGGCGUAAAGGGCUCGUAGGCGGUUCGUCGCGUCCGGUGUGAAAGUCCAUCGCUUAACGGUGGAUCCGCGCCGGGUACGGGCGGGCUUGAGUGCGGUAGGGGAGACUGGAAUUCCCGGUGUAACGGUGGAAUGUGUAGAUAUCGG
rnacentral:rRNA from 1 species